AUUAUACAACAUAUAAAAAUCAGAAGUUAAAAAAACAAAAUCAAUUAAAAUAAUCUUAGCAUUCUUUCUUUCUCCGGCGUGGUGGCUUUCUGGCAAUUAUAGGGUGUUUAUUGGAAUUCUGUUUGUGUGUUAUGCUGAAGAAGUAUGCAGGUUGGAUUGGUUGCAGGUUUUUUUGAUGUCAUGGUUCUGUUAACUUAAUUGGUACAUGAGACUUUUCAUUAUGCUAUGCAAUUUGCAGGUUGGACUCAAAUAAUUGAGUUUUUUCUGUUAAAAGCAAAUCCAUGCAGGUUGGACUAUGUUUGGAAACUUCUGCAGAUGGAUCUAUCGCGUUCUACUAUGUAUUUUGUGAAUUUCCUGGACAUGUUACGAUUGAGUUUCUAGGUUAUGAGCUAAAGGAGUAUUUGGAAAGUGCAUUGGACUGAUUUGUGGAGUGUGGAUUGUAAUUGUGUAUAUGAAUUUGUUGUAACUGUAAAUUUGCUUGAAAUUGUAAAUUAAAUGUUUAAUAACUAAUGUACGGUUGGAGCCCAAGAGCCCAAGUGUUGUGGUUUAUGUAUGGGAUGGUCAAUUGGCAAUGCAUUAUGAAACACUUGUAUAUUGUGAUUUUAUGGACAGGUAGAACAAGACUGUGUAACGGUUUAUUGUUGAAAUGAAAGCAAUUUGGAUUUUUCA